UUGGGGUUGCGGACAUAUCAUAACGAAGAGGUAUCGUAAUUGAAGAGGUUUGGAAAGACCCACCACAGAAGGUAAUAGUCCUGUAUGUUAAACGAGAAGACUUUAGAUAUGAUCCAGAGUACCACGGGACACGUGAAACCCUGUGGGAAGCAGGAGGGACCACCCUCCAAGGCUAAAUACUACCUAGUGACCGAUAGCGUAUAGUACCGUGAGGGAAAGGUGAAAAGAACCCCGGGAGGGGAGGGAAAUAGAACCUGAAACCCUGCACUUACAAGCUGUGGAAGCACAUUUCUUGUGUGACCGCGUACUUUUUGUAGAACGGGCCAACGAGUUACGUUAAGUAGCAAGGUUAAGCACUUAAGGUGUGGAGCCGUAGCGAAAGCGAGUUUUAACUGAGCGUUCAGUUACUUGACGUAGACCCGAAACCGGGCGACCUACCCAUGAGCAGGAUGAAGCGAAAGUAAAAU
rnacentral:rRNA from 1 species